rnacentral:rRNA from 1 species
UUCGCAAUGCCCGAAAGGGUGACGAAGCGACGCCGCGUGCGGGAAGAAGGCCUUCGGGUUGUAAACCGCUGUCGGGAGUUAAGAAAUGUAAGGAUGUUAAUAGCAUCUUUGCUUGACUAAGGCUCCGGAGGAAGCCACGGCUAACUCUGUGCCAGCAGCCGCGGUAAUACAGAGGCGGCAAGCGUUGUUCGGAAUUAUUGGGCGUAAAGAGCACGUAGGCGGCUAUGUAAGUCGGUUGUGAAAGCCUUCCGCUCAACGGGAGAACAGCAUCCGAUACUGCAUGGCUUGAGUGCGGGAGGGGAGAGUGGAACUUCUGGUGGAGCGGUGAAAUGCGUAGAUAUCAGAAGGAACGCCGGCGGCGAAAGCGGCUCUCUGGCCCAUAACUGACGCUGAGUGUGCGAAAGCUAGGGGAGCAAACGGGAUUAGAUACCCCGGUAGUCCUAGCCGUAAACGAUGGGCACUAAGUAGAGGGGUUU